rnacentral:lncRNA from 1 species
UCCGCCAGAGAGGUUUUGCUUCAGUUUCUUCCCUCUCUGCGUUCUCCACCUUCUCAGUGUUUUUCUACAGUAAUAUUUCAUGAAAUUUUCUACCUGUUUGUUAGGGGACAUGGUUACUGGAUGAAACAGUGUGUCUCUGAAUCUUAAAACAAAGUGUAUAGUUCCACCUAAGAAAUACAUAAUUGGAGACGUCAGUCCAGUUGUAUGCAGCAACUAGAUAUGUCCACAAGAUGGCUCUACUUCAAAGACUAGUAUAAUUUUAGUAACUGGAGACAUUUUGCGCUCUGUGUUCCCUGUACUCAACGGUUUUCCUUAUAAUGAGGUUGGCCUCUUUUGGAAUUGGAAACUACAGACAUCAACAGUUCUAGAAGUGCUGAUGUGGGAAAAGUCCUCUAAUUUGCUGGCUCUCCUGCCUUCUGGGAAGAGCAGCUGGUCAUAGCCUUCAGAGGAGGAAACCACAGCUACUUUGCCUUCUUUCCACAUUGUUCUGGGACUCUGGUGAUGCUUACGGGAAGAGAGCAGCUCUUCCCAUACCUACAAGACAAGGGAGUGGACAGCAUGUGAAGGCUCUACUUCUUCCUGCUAUCUAGGUAAAACAAACACUACUCUUUUUCCACUUCUUUUCCAAGUUCACCCAGGCCUAGGUGAAUUAUCCCUCUACUUAGUUCUGUGGAGAACUCUAU